rnacentral:rRNA from 1 species
GACGAACGCUGGCGGCGUGCCUAAUACAUGCAAGUAGAACGCUGAAGGAGGAGCUUGCUCUUCUGGAUGAGUUGCGAACGGGUGAGUAACGCGUAGGUAACCUGCCUGGUAGCGGGGGAUAACUAUUGGAAACGAUAGCUAAUACCGCAUAACAGUAGAUGUUGCAUGACAUUUGCUUAAAAGGUGCAAUUGCACCACUACCAGAUGGACCUGCGUUGUAUUAGCUAGUUGGUGGGGUAACGGCUCACCAAGGCGACGAUACAUAGCCGACCUGAGAGGGGGAUCGGCCACCCUGGGACGUGGACACGGCCCAGACUCCUACGGGAGGCAGCAGUAGGGAAUCUUCGGCAAUGGACGGAAGUCUGACCGAGCAACGCCGCGUGAGUGACGAAGGUUUUCGGAUCGUAAAGCUCUGUUGUAAGAGAAGAACGAGUGUGAGAGUGGAAAGUUCACACUGUGACGGUAUCUUACCAGAAAAGGACGGCUAACUACGU